GCAGAGCAUCCUACGGGAGGCAGGCAGUGGGGAAUAUUGCACAAUGGGCGCAAGCCUGAUGCAGCCAUGCCGCGUGUAUGAAGAAGGCCUUCGGGUGUAAAGUACUUUCAGCAGUGAGGAAGGUGGAUAUGUUAAUAGCAUAUUCAUUUGACGUUAGCUGCAGAAGAAGCACCGGCUAACUCCGUGCCAGCAGCCGCGGUAAUACGGAGGGUGCGAGCGUUAAUCGGAAUUACUGGGCGUAAAGCGCAUGCAGGUGGUUUGUUAAGUCAGAUGUGAAAGCCCCGGGGCUCAACCUCGGAAUUGCAUUUGAAACUGGCAAACUAGAGUACUGUAGAGGGGGUAGAAUUUCAGGUGUAGCGGUGAAAUGCGUAGAGAUCUGAAGGAAUACCGGUGGCGAAGGCGGCCCCCUGGACAGAUACUGACACUCAGAUGCGAAAGCGUGGGGAGCAAACAGGAUUAGAUACCCUGGUAG
rnacentral:rRNA from 1 species